GAGAAAGACAAAGUGUUUUCCAUUGAACCAACAAUUGAUUAUACUUCACCAUAGAUCCCUACUCUGGCCUCAUCACAAUCAACAAGAGGAUGUCAGAGGAUACCAGCAUACCUCAACCAACAUCUUAUUCUUUUAAUGUAAUUGCCAAAGACACAACAGCCAGUCCAAAGAGUGCCACCGCAGUAGUGACAGUGACUGUCAACAGCCCCAUCAUUUGUGGAGCCAUCUGGAGGUUAUGCUGUUUCUACAUCAGAAUCAGUUCCACUAUUUCAGAACAUCAUUAGAGUACAAGCUGUUGAUAAUGAUAGGCCUGACCCAGUAAAUGGAGCAAUUGAGUAUUACUUUGUUGGACCAGAAGCUCAGAGCAGAAUAUUUCAGAUAAAUUCUGUCAAUGGAUCUAUUUCUGCCUGUAUUCCACUAACAGAAGUUCCUGAUGGACAAGAAGUUCAAACAUCCAAGAAAUUGAAAGAUGAUCAGGGAGAAUCAGUGAAUGAGGGAGACGCCUAUGGAGGAG